rnacentral:misc_RNA from 1 species
GUGAAAAUAAUUUUAAAUAAAAUUAAAAGAUAAAAAAUUAAUAUAGUAAACUUUAAUUAGUUUAAAAUUAAAAUUUAAUUUUUGUUAUAGAAUUUACUAAAAAUUAUUAAAUUAAUUAAUAUUUUAAAAAUAUUAUCAAAAAAUAUAAAUUAAAAAAAAUAAAAUGAUAGAAAAAUUAUAAAUCAAGUGAGUCAUUCAUCAGUAACAUCCAUAGCACACAACUACAUGGCCAUUCAGAAAAUCCAACAUGCCUAAUAUGAACAACUAUCCUCAUUCCUAUUCCCCUGUUAGAAAUCUAUAAUUUUAUAAAAUUUUAAUUUAAUUAAUUUUUUUUAGUCAAUUUUAUUUUUAGAAUGAAAUAAUUCAAUUUUAACUUAAAAAAUUCAUUUCAAAAAUAUAAAUCAAUAAUUUUUCUUAUAAAUAAUUUAUUCUAAAUGAAGCAAUUAAAAAUUCAUAUGAAUAUAAAAUUUAAAAAAAUAAAAUAAAAAAAAACUAAGAAAGAAAAAGAAAAAAGAACAAGAUCAUAAUGAGAUCCUUUUGCUUUUCUUUCUUUUUUUUGUUUCACUUUAAUUAACAACAGAUUUGCUCUUCUCUAUUACCAUUGUUGUUUUACAGUGACUUCAAUAGCGACAAUCUGCAAUGGCAGGAACUUGAUGCCAAUCAUCUUAUUUCCCUUAGAACCACUGUUUGUUUUGAAGUUGGUUUCCAGAUGGAGAAGACUGUAUAUAACUAUCAUAGUGGUCUUGGUAUGCAGAUCUCAACUGCAAAAAUGAUGAAAAUUUAGUAAUUACUGCUUAAAUUUUACAAUCAGAACUAACAAAUAAUAAGCUAAAAAUUGUUAAUAAGCAUCUCAAAAUGAGUAGCUGAAGAAGUAGCAGCUUGUGAAUAAUCCAAUGCACUCUCCACUGAAGCCUGAUUGUUGGGCAUGAAAGAAAAAUUGUUAUUCUGCAAUGUUCAGGACGAACAAGUUUAAUUCCAUUAACAAUUAAUGGACCAUGUAUUGAACAAAUCAAAGAGAUAAAAAUGUUAAGCACAGAAAAAUUUUAUAAAGCAAAACCUUGGACAAGUUGAAAGCAGGAGAGCUAGCGGUAUCAUCAAGAAAAGAAGGGAGUUCUUGCUCCUUUUUCCCUUUUCCACCAUUAUUAAUCAAUGUAGUGUCCUUAAAUGCAGGAAAGAAGUAGCCAUUAUUAUCAUAGUUGAAGUAAUUACUUUCAUCUUCAAUGAAAUGAUGAGGAGGCCCAGAAGAUGCAUCAGAGACCAUAGACAAGUCUUCCUCAUCAUGUUCUUGCUCUUCAUGAUCCCUUUCUUCUUUAUUAGCAAUUUUCUCUUUAUCACAAAGGCCAGAACUACUCUUUCUACCAUCAACUUGCUUGGAACCUCUAUGUGCAGCAGCAGCAGCAGUAGUUGGAGAAAGAAAAGAUUGUUCCAAGUAAAGAGUCCAACCAGACUCACAACCACUAGUGCAUUCUGAGGCAAACGCAUUCAUUUUGCUCUUAGCUAGCUAGCAAUUAAUCUAUCUUUCUUUAGUCUCAAAGAAACAAGAAAUGAACUUGGCUUCUUUUAUCAAGAAGAAAGAAAGAAGGUAAUAUCUCUCUAGUUCUGGUCUUUGAAAACAUACAAGACCACAAGCAAAAGCUAAUUAAGCAAGGUAGAGAUACUGUGGAGAGGGUGUGGGAAAAAAACCAAGAGAAUCAGGGUCGAAUCCUAAAUUAAUUUUGUCCUCACUCUCCUCAAUCAGGCUAUCUAUGCGAAUGUAUCAAAAUUGCCAGUUGGGCUGGGUUAUAGUGGGUGCGUGUAAAGAGAGAGAGAGAAGUGAAAGCCACAACCCCUUCACAUGCUAGACAGCGAGGCUCUGUGUACCCUCUUAACAAAACCAGGUACAGU